AUUGAACGCUGGCGGCAUGCUUUACACAUGCAAGUCGAACGGUAACAGGCCUUCGGGUGCUGACGAGUGGCGAACGGGUGAGUAAUGCAUCGGAACGUACCCAGAGGUGGGGGAUAACGCAGCGAAAGCUGUGCUAAUACCGCAUGUGAUCUGAGGAUGAAAGCGGGGGACCGAGCAGCAAUGUUUGGCCUCGCGCCUUUGGAGCGGCCGAUGUCGGAUUAGCUAGUUGGUGGGGUAAAGGCCUACCAAGGCGACGAUCCGUAGCUGGUUUGAGAGGACGACCAGCCACACUGGGACUGAGACACGGCCCAGACUCCUACGGGAGGCAGCAGUGGGGAAUUUUGGACAAUGGGCGCAAGCCUGAUCCAGCAAUGCCGCGUGCGGGAAGAAGGCCUUCGGGUUGUAAACCGCUUUUGGCAGGAACGAAACGGUGUCCGCUAAUACCGGGCGCUAAUGACGGUACCUGCAGAAUAAGCACCGGCUAACUACGUG
rnacentral:rRNA from 1 species